rnacentral:rRNA from 2 species
GAAUCUUUGAACGCACAUUGCGCCCGCCAGCAUUCUGGCGGGCAUGCCUGUCCGAGCGUCAUUU